rnacentral:lncRNA from 10 species
AGUCCCUGGAGUUCCCAGCCAAGCCACAGACCUGCCUCUGAGGAAGGGAAUCGAGCAGGGAGUAGGAGGGGACCUCUGGGGACUCGGGCCUGGAGCUCCUGCCUGCCUGGAUGAAGAGGAGGUCAAGACUUUGUCCCCCACUCCGCAAGAUACCCUCUCUGUUCCGGAGCGGUGGGUCCCUCCCCUGUUAGGACCUUGUCUCCCUCAGGACUGGACCUGGAUCCUGGGCCUGCAGUCAGAUUGCCAGUUUCACUUAGAGGUGGAAAUGUCAACCCACUGGUUGGAAUGGGAAGGUGAGACAGGAUUUCACCAUGUUAGCCAGGAUGGUCUUGAUCUCCUGACCUCAUGAUCUGCCCACCUCGGCCUCCCAAAGUGCUGGGCUUACAGGCGUGAGCCACCGUGCCCGGCCAAAAAUAACUUUUAAAAACAUGAGUAUAGCAUACACACACACAAAAGUCCACAAAUCCUAGGUGUACCACUUGAUGAAUGAUCCCAACGUGAGCACACCUCUGGAUUACCACC